AACACUGUUAACCUGCGGUACCUGCGGAAGGAUCAUUACAGAGUGUUUAACCCCCUAUAAAAUGGUGGGUCUAACCUCCCGUCCUUUGCUGGGUCCCCCUUCUGGAGGACUUUCAAAACUUUCUGCUUCGGCGGGGUAUACCCGCCGGAACACCCUCAAAAAAUUCUUGAUCAAAAUGGUUCGGUCCGAGAAACUUUUUGUGGAAAUUAGCGAAAAACUUUUAACAACGGAUCUCAGAUC
rnacentral:misc_RNA from 1 species